rnacentral:lncRNA from 1 species
GUGACUUAGUGAUUUUCUGAGUCAUGACCAGUUUAACCUCCUCAAAGUGGCUUCAACAUUCAGAGACCGACCUGGCCUUCUUCCCCCAGGAAUUUGUGAUAUGAUUAUUCACAAUAAUGGGAAACUGAGGUUCAGAGAAGUGACAGAGCUGGGAUUCAGAUAUUUCUGACAUCAAUGCCAGCAUUUCAUCUCCUUCUCCUCCACCUCCUCCUCCCUCUCCUCCUUCUUUUUCUUCGCCUCCUCCUCCUCCCCUCCUCCUCCUUUUUCUUUCUUCUUCCCUUUCCUCUUCCUCUCCUUUUCCUCUUCUUCCUCCUCCUGCUCCUCCUCCUAGAGAGAGAGAGCGCGCACAAGUGAACGGGGGAGAGGGGCAGAAGGAGAGAGAAUCUCAAGCAGGCUCCACACUCAGUGCAGAGCCCAGCAGAGAGCUCCAUCCCACGCCCCCAGGACCGUGACCUGAGCAGAAAUCAAAAGUCAGACGCUCAACCGACUGAGCCAGCCAGGUGCCCCCAAUGCCAGCAUUUCUAAAUGGUCUGCUAGACUGCUUAGACCAUGCACCUAAAUUGGAAAUUCCUCGCCACUGGACCGCACCCGCCCUUGAGGACCUCCCCAUCUCUUUGGGCAGAGCAGAAGCCAGACAGAGCAGGGGACUGUGAAGUGACAAUCCUCAGCCCUGUGUGUGCCAGGAGCCCCCGAGGGGCAGGCACCACACUGCAGGCGGACAGGGGCCGCAGAGGAGCGUGGUGUGGGCUGCUGGGACAGAGCUCCUCUCAGAGGAGGUGGGGACCCCGUGGAGUACGUGACUCGUGCCCUUCCAGGCUGCACGCUCCAGUUAGCAGGACAGAGACCCCUCCCCACCCAUCUCCAACCUUCCCAGGCUUCCUGCUCUGCUGGGAGGCCCUGUCACCACACACACACAUACACACACACUCUCUCUCUCUCUCUCUCUCUCUCUCUCUCUCUCUCUCUCUCUUGCACUCACACCCCCCUCCCAGGCACCCCUGAGAGGACCAGCUGCAGCUGGGAGGUGGGGGUGGGGAGAGUACUGCCAGGGUUCUCAGAUCCCUAGCCUCCCUCUCCCACCCCUCCCUCGCCCCCAACUGCUGAGCUGCUUCUAGGUUUAAAGCAAAACAUGAAUCUGUCCUUCCUGCUGUUCAGUGGCAGCAGCCCUGCCUGGAAUUAUUUUUAGCAUGGAUGCAGGGAAGGCACAGUUCUCCUUGACUUUCACUGGGGACAUCCCCCACCCCCCAGCCAAGACUUGGCGGGGGGGGGGGGGAGGUCAGUACGGAAACCCCCCUCCCAGAAAGGGGAAAUGGGUGUGUUUUCUGUUCCUUCAGCUCACCAGAACAGGAGUUGUAGUCAAGCUUGGGGUUGUGCUGAUGGGAAAUUCUAGGUUCCAAAGCCCAUGGGUUCCACCCCACCUCUGUCUGUGUCCCCCUAAGUCUGAGAAGCAGGAAGUGCAUGGUGUCUGCAGCCGAGAUGCCCAAUCUGUGGGUGUUGGGGUCCAAGGGGAGCCACUUGGUUACACCCAACACUGUGGACUAACGACAUAGGGACACCUAUGGGUGCAGGGUGUGGUGUUUACACGGGUGCUUGCUUUAUAAUUGAUUAAACUGAGCAUGUCUGUUCUAUAUAUUUCUCUGCGUGUGUCUUUUAAUUUUUUUUUAAUGUAGGCUCCACGCCCAGCCUGGGGCUUGAACUCACAACCCCAAGAUCAAGAAUCACAUGCCCUACUGACUGAGCCAGCUAGGUACCCCAAGUAUGUGUGUCUUUUAGAUACUAGCAUUACUUCAUUGAGGUAUAAUCUACAUAUAGUAAUAGCACAAAUCUUAAGUUUAGAGCUUAAUGACUUUUGAUAAGUGUAUAUACCCGUGCAACCAUCACCUAGAUCAAGAUCUGGACCAUUUUCAGUACCCCUAAAUUCC